rnacentral:rRNA from 1 species
GAUGAACGCUGGCGGCGUGCCUAAUACAUGCCAGUCGAGCGAACAGAUGAGGAGCUUGCUCCUCUGACGUUAGCGGCGGACGGGUGAGUAACACGUGGAUAACCUACCUAUAAGACUGGGAUAACUUCGGGAAACCGGAGCUAAUACCGGAUAAUAUAUUGAACCGCAUGGUUCAAUAGUGAAAGACGGUUUUGCUGUCACUUAUAGAUGGAUCCGCGCCGCAUUAGCUAGUUGGUAAGGUAACGGCUUACCAAGGCAACGAUGCGUAGCCGACCUGAGAGGGUGAUCGGCCACACUGGAACUGAGACACGGUCCAGACUCCUACGGGAGGCAGCAGUAGGGAAUCUUCCGCAAUGGGCGAAAGCCUGACGGAGCAACGCCGCGUGAGUGAUGAAGGUCUUCGGAUCGUAAAACUCUGUUAUUAGGGAAGAACAAAUGUGUAAGUAACUAUGCACGUCUUGACGGUACCUAAUCAGAAAACCACGGCUAACUACGUG